CCCUAUGUUGAGCCUACUCAGAUCAGAAUACCUAGUCUCUAAGUGGGCCCACACCUUCGUAACCCAAGGACCGACAAACAGAAAUUGAAACAACGCAACCGUACUAUCUAUUUAUGAUAAUUUGAUUGCUGACAACACGACAACAUCACGCUUCUCUUUCUUAUUCUUAUUUAUAUAACUGUCACUUUACCGGGCCGGAAAAGUGACACCGUCACGUCUCAGAGUCGUAUGCCUGGAACAAGAAGGGUCGUCGUACAAUUUCGGCGAUUAAAAAAA
rnacentral:lncRNA from 1 species